CCUAACUGAUUUGGAUUUUGGUGUUUAUGUACAGGAUAGGUAGGAGGCUGGGAAGUGCCCUCGUCAGGGGGUGCGGAGCCAACGGUGGGAUACUACCCUUGAAAUGUCGGAGUUCUAACCUUGGGCCAUAAUCUGGUCCGGGAACAGUGUCAGGUGGGCAGUUUGACUGGGGCGGUCGCCUCCCAAAAUGUAACGGAGGCGCCCAAAGGUUCCCUCAGCGCGGUUGGAAAUCGCGCGGCGAGUGUAAAGGCAUAAGGGAGCUUAACUGCGAGAGCGACGGCUCAAGCAGAGACGAAAGUCGGGCUUAGUGACCUGCCGGUUCCGAGUGGAAGGGCCGGCAAUCAACGGAUAAAAGCUACUCUAGGGAAACCAGGCUGAA
rnacentral:rRNA from 1 species